rnacentral:rRNA from 2 species
UGGCGACCAUAGCAAGAGUGAACCACCUGAUCCCUUCCCGAACUCAGAAGUGAAACCUCUUAGCGCUGAUGGUAGUGUGGGAUUACCCAUGU